rnacentral:rRNA from 1 species
AUUGAACGCUGGCGGCAUGCUUUACACAUGCAAGUCGAACGGUAACAGGCCGCAAGGUGCUGACGAGUGGCGAACGGGUGAGUAAUGCAUCGGAACGUGCCCAGUCGUGGGGGAUAACUACUCGAAAGAGUAGCUAAUACCGCAUACGAUCUAUGGAUGACAGCGGGGGACCGUAAGGCCUCGCUCGAUUGGAGCGGCCGAUGUCAGAUUAGGUAGUUGGUGGGGUAAAGGCUCACCAAGCCAACGAUCUGUAGCUGGUCUGAGAGGACGACCAGCCACACUGGGACUGAGACACGGCCCAGACUCCUACGGGAGGCAGCAGUGGGGAAUUUUGGACAAUGGGCGCAAGCCUGAUCCAGCAAUGCCGCGUGCAGGAAGAAGGCCUUCGGGUUGUAAACUGCUUUUGUACGGAACGAAACGGCUCUGGUUAAUACCCGGGGCUAAUGACGGUACCGUAAGAAUAAGCACCGGCUAACUACGUG